rfam:Glycine max cultivar Williams 82 chromosome 13, whole genome shotgun sequence.
AAAACAAAAUGUAGCCAAGAACAACUUGCCGGCGUGAAAGAAUAAGAAGAAAAGAAAGAUAAAAUAGAUAGAUAUUAUUGCUUAUUGCUCCGGCAAGUCAUCCUUGGCUGCACUCUACUUUCU